rnacentral:rRNA from 1 species
UACAGAGGGGGCAAGCGUUGUUCGGAAUUACUGGGCGUAAAGGGCGCGUAGGCGGCCUGUUAAGUCGAACGUGAAAUCCCCGGGCUCAACCCGGGAACUGCGUCCGAUACUGGCAGGCUUGAAUUCGGGAGAGGGAUGCGGAAUUCCAGGUGUAGCGGUGAAAUGCGUAGAUAUCUGGAGGAACACCGGUGGCGAAGGCGGCGAUCCUGGACCGGAGAUUGACGCUGAGGCGCGAAAGCCAGGGGAGCAAACGGGG